ensembl:lncRNA
CUGAAAGAGUGUCUCCUGGACUGCUGCCUGCAGCCUAAGGCGAGGACUUGGGUUCGAUUCCCAGCAUCCACGUAUCAGCUCAGAACCACAAUCCAGAAAAUGGAAAACUCAAUCCAGAAAGUGAGAGAUUUCUUGCUUGGUUUGAAGUAGGUGAAUCCACUUCUAGUCUGGACCUAUGACGUGGGAAGACACACGCCAUUAACCCAGACCUUGAAGUGAGAAGACACGCCUUUAAUAUGGGCCACACCUUUUGCUGGACAUCUAUAUAAGGAGAGAGAAGAAGAAAGCUUUUGCUCUUUGCCUUUUUGCCCUCACCUUGCUAGCACGUCCAUCCCUUCACUGGCAGGAGAGCCUACGUGUUUGAGAUCCCAGCAUCUACUGAAGAGCAACUGAGGCAUCCCGCUUUGUGAACUGAACACUACUGGAUUCUUGGACUUUGCGUCCACAGCCAGCCAUUGUUGGAUUAGCUGGAUGGCAGCCUGCCUUACACAGAGAGAGGCAGCACCUUCUGCCCCACCCUGCUCAGUUCAGAAGACACUGGUAGCGUCAUUUAAGCACUGAAGCAAAUAACACAGCGUACUGCAAGUCAGAGGAGCUUAAGUGGGACUCCAACUAAUCUUUUUUAAGGUGUGUCUGUGCACCUGCCGGAGCUGCACUCAGAGGCCAGAAGAGGGUGUCCAAUCUCUUCUUAGAGCUGGAGCCGCAGACAGCUGUGAGCUGUUCUGUGGGUGCGGGGAAUAGAACUCUGGGCCUCCGGAAGAGCAGUCCUUACUCUUAUCCACUGAGCCAUCUCUCCAGCCCCAGAUUCUACUUAAUCUUAAGGACAAGUGUCAUCUGAGUCCCCUUACAAGAAGUGUGCAAACUAAUGGAUCUCAUAGAAAAGAGAGUAAAACGGAAAUAAGGGGGGAGUAUAGAGUUUCAGUUAUACAGGAUAGCAAUUUCUAGAAGUCUACUAUGAAACACUGUGCUUAUUAACAGUUUUAAAUUCUGCUCUUAAAACUUACUAAGAUGGCAGAUUUCAUGCCAAGUGUUUACACCAUGAAAAAUAGUUCGAGCAGAAUAGUUUCAGAUAGAAAAUGGUUAGAUGAAGUUAUUAGCUGUACAGAAGACUUGUUCUUAAUCUUACUGGUGUAAAGGGAUAGACCUUUGGGGCAGUAAAGAAUCCCACGUACUUGGACCCCCCAAAGGUCUUGUUCUAUGAGGCCCUAACUUGUGUGGCUGCUUAAUUUCUUCAAAACUAAAAUUACAUGUUUCGAUUUACAUUAUUUUUGGUGAGGGCUAUCUUUCAUAAUAACCAUUUUACCUAAAAAAUUAAAACCUCCAUUGUUUUUCUUUUUAACGGUUUCCCUUUGAUAUGGGACAAUGGCAUCCAUAGAGUCUUCCUGUUCCUCUUUCUAAUAUUUGAAGGUAUCACAGGACAGUGAACAAAAAGAAACUGGACACAGUUCAGAUCGUAAAAGGCUUAACAGAGACAUUAGUGUUAUGUGGCCGCUCAAAUAUUUUCUAAUCCCAAAUGAGAACUUCCUUAUUUAUACUAAAAGAAAAUGCCUGGUCUUUGAAAGAUCUGAGAAACACUUGGAUUUUGUUUGGGGUUGUUGUGGUUUGGUGUUUUGUUUUGUUUUGUUUUUCGUCGCCCCACCCCUCCCCUCCAAAGCUUCUGAGUCCUGGAAGAAGGCGGAAGCGUGGAAUCAACGUCUUUGUGCAUGGGCUGAACUGAAUCAAGCAAACAUUGUUGUAAUCAUUUGCGCAGUGACAGAUCAAUUAGGCAGAGUCCAAGGCACAGCACAAUGUUUAUGGCCCUCCUCCUUCCUGGAACAGUGCAAACCACCGCCUGGCAGACAGCCUGAGACCGGUUGCUUUCCUAAGUAAACUGACCUUUUCUUUGGCUUGGAGUAUCAGUUAAGCUAGCCAUAGAUGAGGCUGUACAACGUGCAGGGAACCAUAGCGACAGAGCACACGGUACCGCGGCCACAUUCUGCAACAGCACCAGGACCAUCGCCAAGGUGGUCCUAGGCCCAGAUUCUCUACUGAUUUAUCAGCCUCGCAAUUUAUUGAGUUCUUGCAGCAGGCCAAGCACCGCUCUAAGUAUUUUGUCAUUAAUGAUCCACUCCACCUUUAUUUUUUUUUUAUUGUUAUCCUCUUUCCUGGUUCCCCCUCUGAAAACCCC